rnacentral:snRNA from 1 species
AGAGAAUCGCUUGAACCCAGGAGGUGGAGGUUGCAGUAAGCUGAGAUUGCACCACUGCACUCCAGUCUGGGUGACAGAG